GUGCCUAAUACAUGCAAGUCGAACGGUCUUUCUAUGGAAGCUUGCUUCCACUGAGAAGAUAGUGGCGAACGGGUGAGUAACACGUGGGUAACCUGCCCAUAAGAGGGGGAUAACAUCCGGAAACGGGUGCUAAUACCGCAUAGUUUUCUUGAUCGCAUGAUUGAGAAAGGAAAGACGGCCUUUGUGCUGUCGCUUAUGGAUGGACCCGCGGCGUAUUAGUUAGUUGGUGAGGUAACGGCUCACCAAGACGAUGAUACGUAGCCGACCUGAGAGGGUGAUCGGCCACAUUGGGACUGAGACACGGCCCAAACUCCUACGGGAGGCAGCAGUAGGGAAUCUUCCGCAAUGGACGAAAGUCUGACGGAGCAACGCCGCGUGAGUGAAGAAAAGGUUUUCGGAUCGUAAAACUCUGUUGUCAGAGAAGAACAAGUUGGAGAGUAACUGCUCCAGCCUUGACGGUAUCUGACCAGAAAGCCACGGCUAACUACGUGCCAGCCGCAGC
rnacentral:rRNA from 1 species